CGCGAAUAGCUCAUUACAACAGCCUUAGUUUAUUGGAUCUUAGAGUCCUACUUGGAUAACUGUGGUAAUUCUAGAGCUAAUACACGCAAUUAAUCCUCAACCUUACGGGCGAGGAGCAUUUAUUAGAACAAAACCAAUCGGCUUCGGCCGUAUCUGGUGAAUCUGAAUAACUACGCUGAUCGCAUGGUCUCGUACCGGCGACAUAUCCUUCAAGUGUCUGCCUUAUCAACUGUCGAUGGUAGUUUACACGCCUACCAUGGUUGUAACGGGUAACGGAGAAUAAGGGUUCGACUCCGGAGAGGGAGCCUGAGAAACGGCUACCACAUCCAAGGAAGGCAGCAGGCGCGCAAAUUACCCACUCUCAGAACGAGGAGGUAGUGACGAAAAAUAACGAGACAGUUCUCUAUGAGGUCUGUCAUCGGAAUGGGUACAAUUUAAACCCUUUAACGAGGAUCUAUUGGAGGGCAAGUCUGGUGCCAGCAGCCGCGGUAAUUCCAGCUCCAAUAGCGUAUAUUAAAGUUGUUGCGGUUAAAAAGCUCGUAGUUGGAUCUGCGGUCGUAGACUCUGGUUCCCUCCUAGGGAUACUAGCUGUCUCGACCUACCUUGUUAGAUUUCCCUUGGUGCUCUUUACUGAGUGCCUUGGGUGUCUAGCUCGUUUACUUUGAAAAAAUUAGAGUGCUUAAAGCAGGCAUUUGCCUGAAUAGUGGUGCAUGGAAUAAUGGAAUAGGACCUCGGUUCUAUUUUGUUGGUUUUCGGAGCAUGAGGUAAUGAUUAAGAGGGACAGACGGGGGCAUUCGUACUGCUACGUUAGAGGUGAAAUUCUUGGAUCGUAGCAUGACGAACAACUGCGAAAGCAUUUGCCAAGAAUGUUUUCAUUAAUCAAGAACGAUAGUUAGAGGUUCGAAGGCGAUCAGAUACCGCCGC
rnacentral:rRNA from 1 species